UACCCUGGCAAUGGGCAAAUAGACAUUUUGUUGGUGGUAGUGUUUUUAUAUUAGUCAGGGGCAGAGAGCAGAUGGAAGUCCUUUGUUCAUCCUAGUUUGAUGCUUGGCUUGGUGGUCAAAGCUGUUUUAUGCCUAAGAUCCAUAA